AAGAGCCCGGAUAGCUCAGUCGG
rnacentral:piRNA from 2 species